UUGUAUAAAAUAAUAUAAUUAUAUGGAUAAAUUAUACUGCUUUUAGAUCUAAAAUUUUACAGAUAAAUAGUUAUAUAUAUGUGUUUUCUUAAUACUGACAGUUUAUAAGUUAUACACGAUUUAGCAUAUAAAUUAAUUUCUUCGUUUUAUGUAUCGACGUAUUAUUAUAUAAGUAGAUACAUAAUAGUUUAUUGAGGUGCAAAACGGUGCGAAAUAAAUAUGCGCCAAGAAAAAAAAUAUCUACUAGUAUUUGCCAGUAUUUCUCUCGAUGCAUAGAUAUAAAUAUUCGAAUUUCUUAGAAAUUUUCCGUAUAACGUACAUAGUACGAUAUAUCGUUGUACGUGACCGACAGUGCAGUGGCAGAGGAGUACGCGAUCUCGAAAAAAACUUGCCGGCUACCGUCGUCAUCUGCAUACACAGUAAACACGAGGUUGACAAAACGAGAAAAAAAAGGUAUUAGCUUAUAGUGCAGUGUUUCUCAACGUUUUUUCAGUUCAUAACCUUCUUUCGGCCUUCUUACAUUCUAUCUUUACCUAACUGAUUGACCUUCGUCUCAUCUUUCCCUGCAUUUUUAUCUUCCUUUACGGAUGCAAACAAAAACUAAUAUCAAUUAUGGCUGGUGGAAAAUUGAAUGAUCUACUUAGAAAUUUUGUGUGUCCCAUUUAGAGCUUCUGACUACCACGAACAUUUAGAGUAAUGACAUCAGAAGCGAAAAAACAUAUAGUUCUUGCAAAAGAUAUUAAAAUAGAGAUAUUCUAUAGAGAGAUAGAGAGAUCGAAAUAGAGAGUUUUUCAAUAAAACAUACAACAUUUGCAUUUGAUAGAGUGCACUUGUAAAAUAUACCAAAAACUUCUCUUGUUCAAAUCAAUAAAUAACCAUGUAUUUGAAAAUGAAUUAUUUGCCCAACCAAUGCCAAAACAAAACCUAUACAACAGCUGUCAAAGUGAGAUAAAUAUAAUUUUAUUCUAUUCCGAGAUAAAAGAAGAGUUAGUUAUUAUGGCGUUCCCAAGUGGCAUGCGAUCGCCACUUAAAUUCUCAUCACGAAUGCGAUUACGUGGACGGCGCAGCCUCAGUUGCUCACAAUAAUUGAUGCAUGCAAAGUUAAUGCGAGUUCUUAGACUAGGUAAAUAAUAAUCAUAAAAUGUGUAUCGGAUAUUAUUGUGAAUAUCUGCUCGUGUUACACACAUAAGUAUAGGUAUCGAUUUAACAUCGUAAUGACACGAUAAGAGAUUUAUAUUACAAUUAAGCUUCAAAUAAGUCACGCUACAGAGGAUUUUGCAGAAUUCAUAUACAAGUACGUUCCAUAUGCGACGCGCUUGCGUACGCAAAUUGGUUGCCAAUUUUCGUAUUUUCGUGAUUACGUGUCUACGUAAAAUUAUCUCAUCUUCAGUGUUACUGGAACUUUGGCCCGAGUUAGUGAGACUUCGACCCAGACUUUGGCCAGACCUUCCGGGAAUUCCGUCUAUGAAUAAAAUGAAAGUUGGGAUGGGAACUUCAAAAUUUUUUCGAUGCGCAUUUCUCUCACUGAACCUCGCAAUGAACGAGUAUGUAAAUACAUCGAGAAAUCAGCGAUUCAGAUAUAGAAAUGUUGAAGUCGGUAGAAAUCAUGUUUCUUACGAAGGAAUCGGAAUACGGUCAGUCAACGGUUGCUGGCAGGCUGACUUGGGAUUUCGCGUCGCUUGUCCGGCAAAGUAAAUUUAGAUCGCUGUACGCUCGGUUUCGCGAAAAUACGCCUUUCCGCUAGCGGAAGGAAGGAAAAAGCGAUGGAGCGUAGUGAUUUAAAAAUGAGAAAAUGUAAUCGAGAGUAUUUUUUUUUUAAUGGGAUCGUAAGAAUCUUAAAUUUUGUCAGAUAUUAUUAAAGUAAAUCUUGAUUUUGCGAAUCUUUAUAUAUUUAUCUUUAUUCAUUAUUUUCGCAAUCUUUUGAUUUUCAUUAGUUAUGUAGUAGGAUGAGCGUAUAAAAUAGCAGAUAGCUAAAGAAAGUUGUAAAGAAAAGGGGGUUUUGAUAAUGAAAUGAGAGUUUGCGGUUCACUUGAAAAUAGUGAUUAUACCGAUUUUUGACAAGGAUAGAGCAAUGAAGCGUGCAAUAAUAAUCAAUGGCAGAUUUCCUGAUAAGAAAUCUAUGUGGUGAAUACACAAUGAAGAAAAUUAAUAACGCUGCCAUUUGCCACGGAGCAACACGUUCCACUCGGUAGCACCGGGUUAGCUUUAAUUAACCCUUUGCCACGCAUGUCGUCAGCAAUUACGGCGAAAUUCCUUGGCAUCCUGGACGAAGGAUAUAAGUAAACAAAAUUUUCCAUGUAACAAUUCAUCUACAUUUAUGCAAUGUUUAAUUCAAUUUCAAAAAUUAUAUAAAAAUUCUGAUAGCGUAAAAAAGAUUAACUCAAGUUAUCUAAUACACACUCCAAUUAAAAUGAUAGAAAAAGUCUGAAGGAUAUAAGUAAACAGAAUUUUCCACGUAACAACUCAUCUACAUUUAUGCGACGUUCAAUUUCAAUUUCAAAAAUUAUAUUAUAAAAAUUCCGGUAAUGUAAAAGAGAUUAUCUCAAGUUAUCUAAUACACACUCCAAUUAAAAUGAUA